rnacentral:snRNA from 1 species
ACACCUUAAACUUAUAGAUAAGGAAAAUAAUGACUGCAGCGGUGCCUGAGUCCUUCUAAUGUGAGAUGAAUUUUUGAGUGGGUAAAGGAUCUCCCUAAAGUAACCCACCUACAAAUAUAUAAAUAUGAGAAAAGGGGUUGGGGGCGUAGCUCAGUGGUAGAGCCCCUGCCUA